GCUGGGCAUGAUGGUGCAUGCCUGUAGUCCCAGCUACUCCGGAGGCUGAGGUGGGAGAAUCACUUGAGCCCAGGAGUUCUGGGCUGUAGUGCGCUAUGCCAACUGGGUGUCUACAUUAAGUUUGGCAUCAAUAUGGUGACCUCCUGGGAGCAGGGGACCACCAGGUUGCCUAAGGAGGGGUGAACCGGCACAGGUUGGAAAUGGAGCAGGUCAAAACUCCCAUGCUGAUCAGCAGUGGGAUCACGCCUGUGAGUAGCCACUGCACUCCAGCCUGGGCAACAUAGCAAGACCCCGUCUUUA
ensembl:misc_RNA Metazoa_SRP Metazoan signal recognition particle RNA